AUGUUUGGGGAGACACAGUUCAGCUUUUGUAGCGGUCAUGAUCCCAGAGUCUGUGCAAGAUGGUGGCUGGUGUCUUCGUAUUUUCUAACAGGGACACGUGAUGACAAAAAAGAAAAAGAAUGGAAGUUUGGAGCUCACAUCGGAAUUGUGAAUCAGUGGAUGGAUGUGAAUGGACUGAGAAUUAGGAAGUCAGAGAAGGGCAUUAAGGAGUGAUAUAAAGAAAUCUGUGAACUAAUCCUUAAUGACAGAGGGUUUCCAGAUUCAUGAUGAAGAGGCCCCCGUGCAACCACUCUGAACUAAAACUCAGCAUGCCUGAAAUGAGAAGAGAAAAAAAAGCAGUCACUUGUUACUCAAAAUAUUUCAACUUUUAAAAUGAUUUUACCUGGGUCCCAAAUAGGAACAGCUCACGAAAGGGGAUCACAAAGCCUGGACAAUCCAAUCACAGUCAGCCAGUGACACCUGCCAUCCCAGGCUCCCAUUCUGCCCCCAGAUUCCAUUAGGAACAUGCCAAGGAAGGUUCACAAAUGCAAGUUCCCAGAGCAUCUGAAACUAAGACCAACCUGUUCAAAUGAGCACGGUCCCCUAGGCUCACCGACGAGAGAAAACAGUAUCAAAGCCAUUUAUGGAAGCCACGAUUCUGAAUUUUUGGUUAAACCAGAAGACAGGAUGGCCCGAAUCUGUUCUGGAAAAGCAGGUUGUAAAGCACCAGCUUUUUGAUCAGGUGUUCUGAAUCCCUUUUUUCCCCACAUGGAAGAAUAUUUAGUGGUAUGGGUAAACAUUCAUGAUAGAAAGCAAACUAAUUUUUCUUUGACCUCAGCCAUGUUGAAAAUUUUGCAUAGGAAAAUAUUAGGGUACAUGAAUAUUGCAGGUGCUUAUCUUAUUUUCAGUUAUUUUCUUAGAGAAUUUUUUGGAUUUUACAUUUUCUAAAGUGUACAUUUACUUGUAUGACAAUAAAUAUAUAUAUAAGCAUAAGAUGACUAUAUUCUGUUUAUAUUUUUUGUAAAGCUCAUUUUCCAUUGAGACUUUGUCUUUUCUUUUUCAUGAUACUUCUAUAAAAAUGCCAGUUUCUUUAGAACUGA
rnacentral:lncRNA from 1 species